UCUACGGGAGGCAGCAGUGGGGAAUAUUGGACAAUGGGCGAAAGCCUGAUCCAGCCAUGCCGCGUGUGUGAAGAAGGCCUUCGGGUUGUAAAGCACUUUCAGUGGGGAAGAAAGCCUUGGGGCUAAUACCCUCGAGGAAGGACAUCACCCACAGAAGAAGCACCGGCUAACUCCGUGCCAGCAGCCGCGGUAAUACGGAGGGUGCGAGCGUUAAUCGGAAUUACUGGGCGUAAAGCGCGCGUAGGCGGUCUGAUAAGCCGGUUGUGAAAGCCCCGGGCUCAACCUGGGAACGGCAUCCGGAACUGUCAGGCUAGAGUGCAGGAGAGGAAGGUAGAAUUCCCGGUGUAGCGGUGAAAUGCGUAGAGAUCGGGAGGAAUACCAGUGGCGAAGGCGGCCUUCUGGACUGACACUGACGCUGAGGUGCGAAAGCGUGGGUAGCAAACAGGAUUAGAUACCCCUGUAGUC
rnacentral:rRNA from 1 species